ensembl:snRNA U6 U6 spliceosomal RNA
GUGCUCACUUCUACAGCGAAUAUAUUAAAAUUGGAAUGUACAGAGAAGAUUAACAUGGUGCCUGGACAAGGAUUUUACAUACACACGCACACACACAAGCACACACAGUUUU